rnacentral:rRNA from 1 species
AGAGUUUGAUCCUGGCUCAGGAUGAACGCUGGCGGCGUGCUUAACACAUGCAAGUCGAACGGGAAACCUUUAUUGAAGCUUCGGCAGAUUUAGCUGGUUUCUAGUGGCGGACGGGUGAGUAACGCGUGGGUAACCUGCCUUAUACAGGGGGAUAACAACCAGAAAUGGUUGCUAAUACCGCAUAAGCGCACAGGACCGCAUGGUCCGGUGUGAAAAACUCCGGUGGUAUAAGAUGGACCCGCGUUGGAUUAGCUAGUUGGCAGGGUAACGGCCUACCAAGGCGACGAUCCAUAGCCGGCCUGAGAGGGUGAACGGCCACAUUGGGACUGAGACACGGCCCAGACUCCUACGGGAGGCAGCAGUGGGGAAUAUUGCACAAUGGGGGAAACCCUGAUGCAGCGACGCCGCGUGAAGGAAGAAGUAUCUCGGUAUGUAAACUUCUAUCAGCAGGGAAGAUAGUGACGGUACCUGACUAAGAAGCCCCGGCUAACUACGUGCCAGCAGCCGCGGU